rnacentral:pre_miRNA from 1 species
UGAGAACUGAAUUCCAUAGGCUUUAGAAUAAUUGAAACGCCCCGUGGAUUCAGUUCUACA